AUGAACGCUGGCGGCGUGCUUAACACCUGCAAGUCGAACGGGAAACCUUUUAUUGAAGCUUCGGCAGAUUUAGCUGGUUUCUAGUGGCGGACGGGUGAGUAACGCGUGGGUAACCUGCCUUAUACAGGGGGAUAACAACCAGAAAUGGUUGCUAAUACCGCAUAAGCGCACAGGACCGCAUGGUCCGGUGUGAAAAACUCCGGUGGUAUAAGAUGGACCCGCGUUGGAUUAGCUAGUUGGCAGGGUAACGGCCUACCAAGGCGACGAUCCAUAGCCGGCCUGAGAGGGUGAACGGCCACAUUGGGACUGAGACACGGCCCAGACUCCUACGGGAGGCAUCAGUGGGGAAUAUUGCACAAUGGGGGAAACCCUGAUGCAGCGACGCCGCGUGAAGGAAGAAGUAUCUCGGUAUGUAAACUUCUAUCAGCAGGGAAGAUAGUGACGGUACCUGACUAAGAAGCCCCGGCUAACUACGUG
rnacentral:rRNA from 1 species